rnacentral:sRNA from 1 species
CUGAAAAAUCUGAAAAAACAAAAUAACCAAUCGAGCAGAGGAAUAUCUAUGACAAAGGAAGCUAGCUAGCUGACGUGCCUGAGGCUUCACGCAUCCGUUGUGUCUCAUGAAUCUGUGUCUGUGUCUUGAAUCCGUGUGUCUGUGUGUGAGGUGGUCGCUGGCGAUGCGUGCAGUGUUUUUUUUUUCCUAUGUAACUAUGCGCCUACGCCGAUAGAUCACUGAAAUAUCAAAUACUAGUAGUGAUAGUGUUAGUGGAGUCAUAGGCGAUCUAGCUAGAGAGAUGUCUGAAAUGGUAUGAGGAUGUAAUGAGAGUGUUCGCUCUGUAUCCUCCUCUGUAAUUAAGCACUAUGGAAGUAAGAAAAAAAAUGGAAAGCCAUGCCUUUGCUGCUUUCUUUC